AAAUCGCCCNAUUCCCUUGAGUUGAUCAUGGCUCGAACGAACGCUGGCGGCGUGGAUAAGACAUGCAAGUCGGACGGGAUUACUUUUGGUAGCAAUACCGAAAGUGAUUCAGUGGCGAACGGGUGCGUAACACGUGGGCAAUCUACCGAGAAGUGGGGGAUAGCUCGCCGAAAGGCGAAUUAAUACCGCAUGUGAUCAGAGGCGACAUCGCUUCGAAAUCAAAGGUGGCGCAAGCUACCGCUUUUUGAGGAGCCCGCGGCCUAUCAGCUUGUUGGUGAGGUAACGGCUCACCAAGGCAUUGACGGGUAGCUGGUCUGAGAGGACGACCAGUCACACUGGGACUGAGACACGGCCCAGACACCUACGGGUGGCAGCAGUCGAGAAUUUUUCUCAAUGGGGGAAACCCUGAAGGAGCGACGCCGCGUGGAGGAUGAAGGUCUUCGGGUUGUAAACUCCUGUCAUUUGGGAACAAGGUGUGUGCGUUAACUGCGCGCGCAUUGAUAGUACCAGAAGAGGAAGAGACGGCUAACUCUGUGCCAGCAGCCGCGGUAAUACAGAGGUCUCAAGCGUUGUUCGGAUUCAUUGGGCGUAAAGGGUGCGUAGGCGGCGCGGUAAGUCGGGUGUGAAAUUUCGAGGCUUAACUUCGAAACUGCAUUCGAUACUGCCGUGCUUGAGGACUGGAGAGGAGACUGGAAUUUACGGUGUAGCGGUGAAAUGCGUAGAUAUCGUAAGGAAGACCAGUGGCGAANG
rnacentral:rRNA from 1 species